rnacentral:piRNA from 1 species
UCCUCAGACCACAGCACAAAAGUCCAGC